rnacentral:rRNA from 1 species
UUGAACUGAAGAGUUUGAUCCUGGCUCAGAUUAAACGCUGGCGGCAUGCCUUACACAUGCAAGUCGAACGGCAGCACGGGGGCAACCCUGGUGGCGAGUGGCGGACGGGUGAGUAAUACAUCGGAACGUGCCCUGGAGUGGGGGAUAACGUAGCGAAAGUUACGCUAAUACCGCAUAUUCUGUGAGCAGGAAAGCAGGGGAUCGCAAGACCUUGCGCUCUGCGAGCGGCCGAUGUCGGAUUAGCUAGUUGGUGGGGUAAAGGCCUACCAAGGCGACGAUCCGUAGCGGGUCUGAGAGGAUGAUCCGCCACACUGGGACUGAGACACGGCCCAGACUCCUACGGGAGGCAGCAGUGGGGAAUUUUGGACAAUGGGCGGAAGCCUGAUCCAGCCAUGCCGCGUGAGUGAAGAAGGCCUUCGGGUUGUAAAGCUCUUUCGGCGGGGAAGAAAUUGCUUGGGUUAAUACCCUGAGUAGAUGACGGUACCCGAAUAAGAAGCACCGGCUAACUACGUGCCAGCAGCCGCGGUAAUACGUAGGGUGCGAGCGUUAAUCGGAAUUACUGGGCGUAAAGCGUGCGCAGGCGGUUUUGUAAGUCAGAUGUGAAAUCCCCGGGCUCAACCUG